UUUCGGGUGUUGGUCUCGAGUGUGCACUAUGCAAUUGCUGCCACCCUGCCUUCGUGUUACCAGCGAGCGGAGCGGCUGACAGAGACUGCGGGCGAGGCCGCCGGCCGCCCCCCGGGACGAACCGGGAGUCGUGGCAUGCUGGUACUGGGGGUCUUUUAAGAGUUUUGACAUGAAGACAGAUGGAAAUCUUGAAAUGUCAAGUGAUGUAGCAAGAACAGAUUUAAGCAAGAGAAAGACUUCACCUUUCCUGACAGAGGGAGAUUUUUCACAGGCAAGGAAGGUCUCUCAUUUGUCUGGCUGUUUGGCAGUGCUCUCUGAUGAAGUCCUGUCCAGGCUAUCUCUUCCAGGAGAAGAUGGAACUCUGCAUCAUUUUGUGUAAAAUAAUCCAAUCUCAUUGGGAACUCUUCGGUUGGAGUCUGAGUUAUGGCAUUCAUGGAAUUCCUUAAGAAAAAGAAUGUGAAAGACACGGUUUCAGAAACACACUGCCACUUUAAGAGGAUACAACAUGCCUAUUAAUAAUUGUAUUACUCCUCUAUUAUUGUUAAGAAUAAUGAAGGAAUGGGAGCGUUGGCCCCCAAGCUGAAUUUAUCCUGAAAUGUUUUCAAUUAACUCUUGGCACCGGCAGGAAAGCAUCAAACCUUUCCCAUGCUGAAAUAUGGAAAAUCUGCAGGGAACAUCCCAGCAGGAGUGGAAUUUCAUUAAAACAAGCACAUCAUAAUUCAAUGACUUCUGCACCCUCUUUAAGCCUUUCUAUUGAUAAGGAGUCCGAGGUGAUUUUUAUGGAUUUGCAAAGAGAAAUGAUUUCAUAAGAUCUUUUCAAAGAGUUUGUUUUGGCUGAGGCAUUUGAGUUAUUAUCUGCUCCCUGAUGAAAAAAGAGUAAGACAUUUGGCAUAACUGUGACUACUAAAUAAGAGGCAUAACUGAAGAGACGUUAAACAAAGUUUUAUCCCUCAGACAGAUUUCUGUAAUCUCUGUAGGAACUGACUCCAUAACUAUUUUCCCACAUCUUUUAAAGAAAGUAUUGCCAUUAAAACCUGCACUUUUUAACAACUACAUGUAAAUACUAAAGCAAGCUUGUGUUUAAUUACACAUUCAAAUACAGAUACAGACAUUUUAAUAUUAAAUAUACUCAUGCAUUUAGUAGUGGUAUAUGAGGUAGAGGUGCAUAGUGAUUUAAUAAUAUGCAUAUCACUUUGCCCAUAUGUGGGUUGUCCUAAAAUGUUUGGCUAUCCCGUUUGUAAAUAAAAUUUACAUAUGUGUGGGAUAUAGUGUAUUUUUAAACACUGCUGAAGGCUUAAUAUUUUUUUGCUAAGUCUUGUAUAACUUAAUCUUGAUAUAACUUUUUACCUCCUGCAAAAUAAGUUUUCCUGUCAGGAUAUAGCUAAGGUAUAGAGACAUGAAUUGUUGCUCAUUACAGAACAUUAGCAUUUAUGUUUAUUAACAGGUAUGAUAAUCAAGUAUUUUUGCUAAUCCCCAGUAAAGGCUCAGGCUGGCUGGAUUUAAAGUAUAAGACUGAAUAUCUGUGUCAGUCUUGGUUUCUCUGUUUUGAAGUGGAAUUGAAAAUUUGCAGGAACGUCUUGUCUUUUUUUCUACCCAAUGUUCAAAAAUAUAUUUGUGUAUUUGCUGCCAUUUCCUCCAUGACACCACUACUCCUGAGGCAGGAAGAGCAUCAUGGAGAGUUAGGAAAGCAAGCUGCUGAGGCUGGCACCACACAGACAGGUUGUGGGGAAGAUGUUAAGAGGAAGAUGGUACUUUGGGUGUGCUUUCCAUUGGUAGAGGAAGUGUGUUUUUUCCUAUCCCUGUCCCAUCCUCCUAAAAGGCCUCCAGGCUAAGCAUCUCCAAUGCUGAUUGAGUACACAGCCUCUCCUUCUGAGACUAGAGUGGUACAUGUUACGUGGUGCCAGUUUGACACAUUAACAAAUAGUGGCUAGAUUCACGUGGUUAUCCUUUAGCAAGCUUGGAUGACAAGAGCUCCUUCUAGACAGGCCAAGACCAGAAAACUUGUGUAAAAUCAGCCUGUGUGACUUGAAUCCAGACUGUCACAAUUUCACUGCAUGUCUGUUUUUCAACAUGAGCAGGAGGACUUAACAGACACAUAUAUACCCACAUUUUCACAGCAAUCUGUUUUUUUUUUUUUCAGCAACAAAGUUUUAUUCUGAGAUUUCAGUAGUAUGAUACUCAUUUGCAGCUUACAGUUUUUCUUUCACGUAUAUGACAGAGGAAGAAACCAUGUAGGAGUUAGAGCACUACAAGUUCUAUUCUGGAAGUACACCAGGAUUUUUCUGCUUUCAGUUAGCCAUGUUGCACCAACAGCUUUCACAUCCUCGACAGCCUGCAGCAAGGAGUUCCACUGCCUUACAGCACAGUUUUGAGAAGUUUUCCUCUCCUUUGGCAGGACUUUGCCACCUGACCUUUCCUUUGCGCCACAGUGACUAUAUGGCACUUUUCCACGUCCCUUUCCAAGUUUUCUUUUUCCACAGAACUAUUCCAUCACUUUGAUCAUUCUUCUUGCUCUUUUCUGUACUACAUAAAGUUUUAGUAUAAUGUGGUGGGGAUAGGAGGAGCACAACCAUAGGAAAGCACUCCUCCUUCUUUUAGACGGCUUCUAAAUUCAAGAAUAUGAAAAUUGAUUUGAACCCAAUGAUUCAUGACAGAGGUUUCUUGGGAUAUCUGAAAAUUACUGACCAAAAAUGGCUACUAGUGCUGCAAAUACAGUGAGUCAGUUGAGUUUGCAGUGGAUGAGUCUAGUUGAGAACAGGAAUAUAAUGAGUGCAAGAGGAUUAGAUCUUACAUUUCUCUCAAAGUUUGUUGCACGAUACAGCAGGACCUUCACUCUUUCCUUCUGAUGUCAUUAAAAGACUGAUAACUUACUGUGACCUAUACAGACAGGGAAAUUUAAAUUCAGUGAUUUUUGUGAUACUUUUGAUGGCCAGUAAUGAGAAGAUUUCCCAGGGAAGGAUUGCACUGCACAAUUUCCAGUUUAUACUCAUUUACUUUGUUUUUAACCAUUAUAGACCAGGAUUUCUGCUGCCUUGGCAGUCUUACUGUAGUCCAUUCAAUGAGCAUGACACAGAUUUGAAAGAAAGAAAUGUUGUGCCCUACUGGUUGUUAAGAACAACAAGCUCUACUUUGAUCUCUUUGCUACAUUUCUUUUUUUAAGGAGUUUUAUGUUCUCAUAGUUAGAAAUAUGACAACCUACUGAACCAUAAGAUAUCCAGAUUUUCUUGUUACCCUCUCCUUUUAGACUCCCGAUCUUCCUACUUAAAUACAAAAACUUGUGGGUUUUUUUCUCUGUUACAGCAUCCUGUCAUUCUGCCAAAAGAUUCCUGUGUUUUCUGUUUCUUCUCUUUGUGGUUGCCCACCAUAAGAAGAGUUUAAAGCAGUUCUGUGUUGUAACUCAUCCAGUUAUCAUGAAAUUAGUGUUAUUUUUACCCUUAUUAAGGUAGUGCCUUAUGACAUAAGAGCAACAAUAUUCAAAAGGCAUUUCCUAUCAAACCAGAAAUGCCUUUUAUACCAAAUUCCUCAGGUCUCGAACACCUGAUCUAGCCUAUUGAUAUCAUAUUUAUGGUGAAUAAAGCUUUUUAAAAUUAGGAUUUUUUUACGGGUAAUUGUGAAAAAGCUUUUCAAAAUGGGGAUGGGGACAGCAAAGUUACAACUGACAGCAGAGACAAUAGUGUUGAACAAUAUUAAGAUAAUAAUUAACUUGAGUUUAACUCUCAGAAAAACAGAUUAUCACAGUUUCAAUUGACACUAGGUGCCUGUUAGAAACUCAAUCCCAGAUCUCAGUAGCUUAUGAAUUGCAAUUUUACCUGAGAUCAUUCACUACCCUGCACUGUCUUCCCCCAGAAAAACUAAACACAAAAGGAAAAUCCCCUUUGAGUUUCCUUAAACACGUUUUGAGGUGUGAUGAUAAGAAUGCCUGAAAGCAUUUGUCUAUUUUUAAUUUCCAUAAUUGCAAACUGUUCCUUUAAAAGGUUGUGUACAAACAGUAUUUGUUUAAUAUAUCAGUAAAUAAAGGACAAGAACACAGUAGGGAUAAGGAAUAGGAAUUUUCCCAGAAUAAGGAAAUACUGUUUGAAACAGUAGGUAAAUCAAUUGGAAUUUUGUAUGACUAUAGAUUAAGCCUACUAAAACUUUAAGUUUGAUGAAGCAAUUUCAGGGAGAACAUUUAGCCAUUAUUUCCAAAAUGUUAUAAAGAAUAGAUGAAACUUUGGAAACUAAACUAGGAGAAACUCAUUGUGAAAAUGGUAGAGAGAAGAGGGCAAGAGCCAUGGCAGGACAGGCAAAAGUGUAAAAAGGAUAAGGUAGUGAAGAGGACCAGUGAGGUGAAGUAGUAACAAUUUUCAACAAUAUAAAAACAUUGUUUCAAGGAAGAAGCAAAUAAGUUAUUGCCUUUGUUUAGAAUUAAAUGGUACCUACUCAGGAGUAAAUUUUCAGUCACCGACAGUUUGUAAGAACAUCUGACAAGGUGUAGCUGGUCUGUGUGGCUUAACCCUGUAAGCACUGAGCUGCAAACAGCCUGUUGCUCACUCCCCACCACAUAACGAGGAGGAGAAUCUGAGGGCAAAAUUGAGAAAAACUCAUGGUUUGCGAUAAGAACAACAGUUAAUAGGUAAAGCAAAAGGAGGACUUCAUUUCCUACCAGCAGGCAGGCAUUCAGCCGCCUCCAGAACAGCUGGUCUUCAUCUUGCAUCAUGUAUUUGGAAAUACAAGCACCAUAACCAUGAGUGGUUAGUUGGGGUCAGCUGUUCAGCUCUGUCACCAUACAGUGAUGUCUGGGGACACAGCUGAACCAUACAGUCUCAUGUCCAUCCCCAGACUACUUCAACAGAGGGAAGAUUUGAGAAACAGAGAAAGUCUUGGCCUUGGCAGAACUAUCUUGAACAGCAUAUUGUCGAAACUGUUUUGGUCACAAUUCCAAAACACAGCACCAUAUGAGAUACUAUGAGGAAAAUUAACUCCAUUCCAGUCAAACCCAGGACAACAUGUCUUCGAGGACAGGACUAGAUUAUUCAGAGACACUCUGGAAAACUCAAGACUUGCCCAAAAUAAGUGUUUAUAUAAGGAGAAACAACUGAAAGCAGAACAGUAAAACUUAAAUACAAUAUUAAUGCCAGAGCAUAUUUCUCCGUCCUUUGCCAUAUUACCUUGCACAGGUUCUGUUACACCAAAUGCACAUAAUGUACUGCUAUAUUUUUUGUAUGUUGUUGCUUUUUCUUUUGAAGUCAAGUUUAAUAGUUGAUAAAUUUAAAAGACAAGUCUGGAUCUCAGUCAUCUCAAGAAAUAUGUCUAAAUUAUUUGAGAUUUUUCUCAACAGUACAGGCUGAGUGUAAGUAAGAGUCUAAGUAAGAGUGACAUCCUUUGUCUGUAAUUUUCUCUUUGUCUUUCAGAGAACUUCACAGAAGACAUCCUUUCUUUCCUCUUGCAUGUAUUUAUACAUGUAUAGACACUCAUAUAUAUAUUUUAUGCUGUAUGAUUAUCUUAGCAAUAAAGGGCCAGAGGGAAUCUGCAGAUUAGAAUGAAAGGUGCUGUAUUUUCUAAUAAAUUCAUAUAUGUGGUCCAUGGUUCCACUAGCUGGUCUGUUGCUUGGAGAGAUGAGUUUCAGUCUUUUGUUAGAUGACCCCAAAGUGUCAUCAGGGAAGAGCUGUUGAUGUAUUUCAUUCUCAUACAAAGUGAGCUCUUCUGGUAAGUUUUUACAGUCUUACAUUAUAAACCUAAACAAAUUUCUUUAAUGCUUUAGAGAUAUCUUCUAGUCAGUUCUUUAUACUGCAUGAUGUUUUUGCAAAUUUUAACAGGAAGUAUCUAUGAGAAGGGAGAAUCUGAGGAUACUUUACCUUUCUAUGUAACAAAAAAUGAAUGUAAUUUCUGUUGUAUAAAUGUUAGGAUCUUGUGUAAUUUGAAAACUGCAGUCAGUUUUAGGUGGUAUGUAAUAGGACGCAUGGAUAAUAUAUCCCACAUAGACAGUAUAGGUGAUUACUAAAAAAGCAGCAUUGAUUGCCAUGUCUGUCUUUACUGUAACCUUUCAAGGCUGAAUUAUUUUGUCCCUUUGUAUAUUUAACAUGUUUUCAUUCUGACUACCUACCUUAUAAGGCAUUGUGGGCAAUUUUCUUUGUGUAUACUUUCUUAUAAAUGUAUAACUCAGUUUAUUAACCCUCUCUUUAAGCUUGUGUUUCUAACUGCAUAUGAAACUUCACCUGCAGCCAGGAUUAGUAUUUUCUUUUAUGGAGCAAUUUAUUCGUAUUUGAUUUCAAAAUACAGGAACUGCUGGCAGGCUUCACUGCAAAGAGUGUAAACAUCUUGAAGUAUUGUAGCACCACUCCCUCAGAAAGACGUCUGAAAUAGGUAUGCUACUAUUGUCCCUAGUGUGCAGGUGAGGAUUAGAAGAUCAGAAACAGGGAAGGUGACGUGCUCAAAAUCAUGUGGAAUCUACCCUUCCCUUGGAUAGGUCAGUGAGCUGUUCUCAUGUCUUUGGGGUCCUUUAACCCUUGGGAAGCGUCAAAGACAACAAAAUAAUAGUAGUAAUUAUCACAUAAUACAUAAGUUUUGUGGCUGUUGUUAUUGAGCUUCACCUCUGUUAAGACAAAAUCUUCUAUUAUUGUCAGUAAGGGGAUGUGUUAAAAUCAGAUAGCACAAAUGCCACUUAUUAGUUGAUGAAAGUUAUUUUACUAUAAGGUUAUUCUUGCUGGAGUAGGCACUAUUUUAGAAAUGGGAUAUUUUUUUAUUUCCUCAUGCAUAACUUUCUUCUUUAUAUAGGCAUUAGUGCAGUUACCACACAUUCAUAUCCACUGCAGCCAUUCUCUCAGAUCUAGACUUCAGGAAGCUCAAAUCCAAAUAGUUUUCAAAUCCAAGCUGCCACUUUGAUUUCAUCACAUCAAACCCUUGUUGAGAUCAAACCUUUGAAAUGAGAAAAGAUUUUUAAUCCAGUUACCCCAGAUGGGGUACAACUCUCCAGGUCCUGAGAGCUGCAGGAUUAGGAAUUCUCAAACUCCCCUCACCCACCCAUGAACACACAUGCAGGGAGCAAACAAGCUGCCCAACUUUACAUGCUUUGCUCACAAACAGUCCUGCAAACAAAUCAAUAUCUAAGAAUGGAGAAACAUCUUUCUGCCCUCAUCUUUCUGAUGUAGUGAAGUAUGCACAACCCCAGUAUAGUCUUUGUUUUGUAAACCUAAUACUUUCUAUUCAAUAAAAAUUGUUUUGAAAACUGGUUAAAAUUCAUAGUAACUCUAAAUGAAGCAAUUCACUGUCUACCUGUAACAUGAUUUGCAAAUGGAUGGAGUGAGAUUUCUAUUUCAAAAGGUCUUUGCUUCACUAUCAUAAUACAAUUCUUAGGCUUGGUUUUAAUCUUCAGACAACUUUUUUCUUAAGAUAAAUAUGGAAAGACCACAAACAAUUUGCUGUGCAUGAAAGCUGAAAAUAACAAUUCCAUUAUCAUUAUUAUAAUUUUCAAAUCCAGAAAUCAUUUUGCCCUCAGAUUCAAAUUACGUGGGAGGAUAAUUUGUGCCAAUACAAAUUCCACUUUUCAGCUGACUGAUGCAUUUUUAUAAUGAUAAGAAUUCACAUGCAGUUGAUGCUGUUUACUAAUAGUCUAUAUUAUUAUAAUUUUGGUGACAUCAGACUUGAACUAUAUCCAAAAAGUAUGUAUGUACUGCUAUUAAAUAGAUUGGUAUUUUGCUCUGUUACCCAUGAAAUGGGAUUGAGAAAUUAGUCAUGAGCAGAAAGGCAGAAUAUAAUGGGCAAAAGCACCAGUGAGAAAACAAAGCCAUGUUUAGUUUGUGGCAAUUACAGCUGGCAUUUCUCCAAGAUAUCAAGUGUGUGUCUGUUUCUGUGUCUGUGAAUCUGUGGGUAAGCAUGUACAUAAUUUUUCACACAGCCACAAAAGAUUUAUUCAUUAUCGCUUUUAUAUUUAUUUUUUUAUUAUUUUUGUACUAGUUGUUUUAUCCUUUCUAGGAUAAGCAGCCAAAGGAAGUGACUGCUCACAUUCUCACAAAUGUCAGAUUACUUAAUAUAGUUUUCAUUCCACAGGUAGCAAGAUAAAGACAGAGAAAUAAAGAAAAUUAGGUGACAAAAUAAGUAGAAAAAAUUAGUGAUUGUUACUUUUCUAAGGGAACAAUAAAGAAACAAACAAAUGUCUUUUGAAAAUGACAAGGAAAUAAGGCAAUAUCCAUAAACCUCAGGUUUAUGCGAUUUGCUUCCCUGCCUCCCCCCAAUCGCAAGUAAAGCAGUUAAACUUUAGUCACAAUGAGCAGCAGCCCAGAAGUAGACAGACAGCCACCUCUGUGUGGGGAAGAUUUAUAGGGACCCCUCCCGGGCCCUUUGCAAGUCCGAUUCAUGGGCUGCCCUGACCAAGGCUCAGAGCUGUCGCUCCGAAAAGGGAAGAAGGGAAGGCUUGUCCUUUUUUUUUUUUUUUUUUUUUUUAGAUGACCAUUUGUUAUUAGAACACAGGCUUCCAAAUGACGAAGGAGAGAAAGGGUUGAAGGAAAGAUAUUUUUCCCCUCUCCCUUGUGUGGUCCAGCGUAUUCAAAGCAGGGGCCUGUCUAGUUUUACUGAGAAGGAGGAAUGAGCUGAUUUAACAUGGAUUGCAGCACUGCUGAGAGAGGGGGAGAGCAACUCCCAAUCAAAGUGUGAGCUGUUUUGGUGUCCAUGUGUGUGGAUGUACAAGCAAGAGAAGUGGCCAGUCUCUAGGCACCUUCUUUCUAAGAGCUCAAGGGCAGAUAAUUGAUGUGACAGACAAUUCUCCUUAACCCCCUGCCAACAAAACAGCUCUUGGGCAGCUCACAGCUCUUCUCACUCAAUAAAGGCCUGAACCUAUCACAAAAAACAUGGGAAAGAUUUACUUGUUGUGAAUAGCAGCAACGCAAAUAGGAAUAGUGACCAGCUCUUCCCCACACACUGAUGUGUGUAAAGAAACUGAGGUAUACAAGUAAACAAGCAGAAACAAACAAGGUAAGUCUGUAGGAUGAGUUGGUCCCUGAUAACCUUGUCUCUGCUACUACCAAAGCAGAAUUAUUGUAGUGUUGUGAAAGUGGCUUUUAUUUAAUGUCUAUACAUCAUCUACAUAAAAGAUAAUCUGCAAGACCCUUAUUCUGCCCCCAGCCCCAGCUAAUGGUAUCCUACAGAUUCAUUUAUCAAAUCAUUUGUGCCAACUAAAAGCAGAGUACAUAAAGAGGCACAUGGUUGCUGGAGCUUCUUAAACAAUGUUUCUUGCCUAAAAUUAUACUUUUCUCAUGAACUUGUGUCACACCUGUGAAAAACAUUGCCAGCAACCACUCAGUAAUAAUGGCAAAAAUUUCAUUUUGUCCCAGGUCUGGACAUUUUUUUGUAGUCUGGUGAAGUUCAACUCAAACUGUGUGGGUAAACAUUCUUGUAGCAUAUUGAGUGAUGUGAGCAGCAGGUUGUACCUAGUAAUAACUGGGGAAAGCAAGAAGAAAAAUGCCAAGUCCAUUUUAGCAAAGUAAUUCCAGUGUAGAAUACCUUAAUAUAUAAUCAAAUAUACAUAAAGUAGAGGUGGCUGAAUAUGCAGGUAGUCAGACCUCAUCCUCUGCUAUCAAUAUACACAUGGACAGCAGAACAAGUAAAGAGCUUAAUCAAAGUAUCCCUGCAUUAGAGAGCCCUGGCAUAAAUAAACCCAUUGAGAUCAUUGUCCUGGGCUAGAAUAGAAGGCUAACUGCAAAUUGUGCAAGUCUAAAGCCAGAAACUUUUGGACAAGUUAUGGCAUAUGGUGUGAUGUGAGCAUUUCAGGUAGACAAUAUUGUUUGUAUGCAAAGUAUACCUAUGUACU